rnacentral:rRNA from 1 species
AUUGAACGCUGGCGGCAGGCUUAACACAUGCAAGUCGAGCGGAGGCUUCGGUCUUAGCGGCGAACGGGUGAGUAAUACCUAGGAAUCUGCCUAUUAGUGGGGGAUAACGAAUCGAAAGGUUCGCUAAUACCGCAUACGUCCUACGGGAGAAAGGGGGGGAUCUUCGGACCUCUCGCUAAUAGAUGAGCCUAGGCCGGAUUAGCUAGUUGGUAGGGUAAAGGCCUACCAAGGCGACGAUCUGUAGCUGGUCUGAGAGGAUGGCCAGCCACACUGGAACUGAGACACGGUCCAGACUCCUACGGGAGGCAGCAGUGGGGAAUAUUGGACAAUGGGGGCAACCCUGAUCCAGCCAUGCCGCGUGUGUGAAGAAGGCC